UACGGAGGGGACUAGCGUUGUUCGGAAUUACUGGGCGUAAAGCGCACGUAGGCGGCUUUGCAAGUCGGGUGUGAAAUCCCCAGGCUUAACCUGGGAACUGCAUUCGAGACUGCAUUGCUAGAGUAUGGGAGAGGGAAGUGGAAUUUCAGGUGUAGCGGUGAAAUGCGUAGAUAUCUGAAGGAACAUCAGUGGCGAAAGCGACUUCCUGGACCAAUACUGACGCUCAUGUGCGAAAGCGUGGGGAGCAAACAGG
rnacentral:rRNA from 1 species